rnacentral:ncRNA from 2 species
UGAUAGCUGUGAAGCGUGAGGUUGCCGCCCCCGGCAAAGUCAUAAGUGAGGGCGGGUUUUCCGUGGAGCGAAUGUCAAGUUAGGAAACUGGCGACAA